rnacentral:rRNA from 1 species
CCUACGGGUGGCAGCAGUGAGGAAUAUUGGUCAAUGGACGAGAGUCUGAACCAGCCAAGUAGCGUGAAGGAUGACUGCCCUAUGGGUUGUAAACUUCUUUUAUAAAGGAAUAAAACGAGGCACGUGUGCCUGUUUGCAUGUACUUUAUGAAUAAGGAUCGGCUAACUCCGUGCCAGCAGCCGCGGUAAUACGGAUGAUCCGAGCGUUAUCCGGAUUUAUUGGGUUUAAAGGGAGCGUAGAUGGGUUGUUAAGUCAGUUGUGAAAGUUUGCGGCUCAACCGUAAAAUUGCAAUUGAAACUGGCAGUCUUGAGUACAGUUGAGGUAGGCGGAAUUCGUGGUGUAGCGGUGAAAUGCUUAGAUAUCACGAAGAACCCCGAUUGCGAAGGCAGCUUACUAAACUGCGACUGACAUUGAUGCUCGAAAGUGCGGGUAUCAAACAGGAUUAGAUACCCGGGUAGUC